rnacentral:lncRNA from 1 species
AGCAGCACCGCCCCGUGGACUUGCUCUUCCUGGUGGUGAUCGUGCCCCUGGUGCUUCUGGCAGGUCUUGCCUCCUGGCUCUGGAAGCGCCGGAAAUCACACAAGACACCUCAGUGUACUGGCCUCCCUUUGGAGUGAGAUCCCGGCAGCCCAGGACCAGGACGUCCCUAAACCCAGCUCAGUGGUGAUGGACCAGCAAGUCUCUAUGUGACUGUUGUCUUUCCUUUCUGCUCAGUGAUCAGUUGUCAAGAUGAGUUAAGUGUAAUUUAGGGGGAUUUGUUGUUCUGACCUGACUCUGGGACUUAAAUCUCAAAAUUAUCUCAGAGUAUAAUGAAGUCCCAGCAACGUCCAUGCGUCACAGGCAUCAGACAUCACUUCCUCCAGUGAGCCGUCCCUUAUUCAUAACUGGAAGCAGUCUUUGCUUGGUGAGAAUUAGCACCGCAUUUUCCUGCACUUGGCAAAUCUAUUCCUGACCCCCAGCCCUUGUUGCCAACAGUUAGGGUCCUUUCCCUUCUAAUUCUUAGGACUUUAGAGAUGAGGUCCAUGUCUUUUUAAUAUUUGUAUCCUUGGCAAGGAGCCCCACUGCAUGGAAUAUGUCCUCAAUAAAUACCUGUGUUGAAUUUAUGUCAGUUUCAUAGGUUUGUCUUUUUCUUUUGCCUCCUGACAGGUUUGUAGUAGUUCAGAUGUUUGCACACGUGGACAUUUCUGGAAAAUAACGUUGAGAUAGAAGGGAUGGAAAAGGAGAAAGCAUCUUUGACAAUGUGACAGGACAAAGGAUGGACAGGUAACCUCCAGUUCAUGACAAUCAUCAGACAGCUGUCACUUGUCCUUGCCCAGAGUGAUGGUUCAGGGCCACGCACCUGCUCCAGGUGGCUCAGGUCACAGGCAUUCUGAUUCCUGUGGUCAAUGGCAAAGAAUGAGAUGAUCUUUCUUGUCCCAGAUGAUAAGGUCGGGGUAUGAAGUGUAAACAACUACAAUCCAUUUUUCAGCAGCAGAACAGCAAGCCUGAGGAUGACACCUGCAUUCAAGAAGGCAGAGAAAUUGUACAUGUGAAGUUUUCCAAGAGGUUGGAUCCAACGUGUUCUCACCACAAGAAUGAGAAGGAGAGAAAAGAAAGAGAAAGGAGAGGACCCAGAUGUGAGGUUUCCUUGGCCAAUUCUUCAUUUUCCUUCAAAGUGCUGCAUGCCACUCGAGGCUCGGCAGCUCAGGACCUGAGCGUCACCUGUAGCUCCCUGCAUGCCGUGUGCACUGGGCUCCCGACGUUCUUCAGGCCGUCCUCUCGGAGAAGCUGUUGGAAGACUUUCAUCAGGAGGACCUUUGUUCUUGUCACAUCACAGGCUGUGCUGCACCUGUUGGACCCGGCGAAGGCCCGUGUCGCCCGUGGGGCCUCCCAGCCUUCCUCCCUGGGUGGCUGGAAAGCUGCACUCUGUACAAAGGUACAGUUUUCAUUUGUCAUCCCAUUCCCGUGAAGCAGAAAACAGUAGCAGCAACAAAACCAAAGCAUCACAAAAGUGAAGGCAGACGCACAGACCCGCAGAAGGGACUGGAGCCCCAAUAACCCUGGGAUCCCCGGUUCCAUCAGCCCAUUCAUUUCCUGUAUGGUUUCAGCCCACAAAGGUGGAUUUCUGUCCUUUGUGAUUGGGUGCUCCCUCUGAUGGACGUGGACGUGGCCCCUGGGGAUGCUGGGAUAAUAUCUCUCUUCCUUGCGGUGUUCUUCCUCACUCUUCUCUUCCUUGCCUUCAAUUCUUGAAAAUAUUCCUCUAUUCCUUUUCUUGCCUGCUUGCCUUUUUCUUCACGUGUCCUCACCUGUCCCACUCUUACCCCGUCUUAUUGACACUGACAUCUGGAUCAAUCCCUAUCCUGGGUGUUUUCGUGGGUUUCUAACAAACCGCUGAUCAGGAAUCGAGUGCUGCUUCAGCUGCUGGAGAAGUGACUGGUAAAAAUUUUCUCCAGGGUUUUCCUAGAGAUGGAAGGGUAAGCUGCACCAGCCUUCAUGAACCAGGAGCUGUUGUGGCAAUGGCAUUAGAUACUCAAAAUGCGAGAAAUUUUCCACGGAUUUCUUCCCAACACAAUACAUGUAUUCAUUCAUUCAUUCAUUCAUUCAUAUGUACAUUCUGUUAUUCAUUCAUUCAUUCAUAUGUACAUUCUGUUAUUCAUUCAUUCAUUCAUUCAUACGUACAUUCUGUUAUUCAUUCAUUCAUUCAUUCAUUCAUGACUUAGCUUUUCCUGUUUGUAUGGGAAACAUGUUCUCUAAGACUGGUUCUAAAAUGUAUGAGAGGCAGCUGUGUGUACAGGUGUUUAAGACAUAACGAAUAAUCUUGUCCUCCAAGCUUUUUUUUUUUGCUAUGUACAUUUAAUCAUCCAGAGCAAACUUUAGAAUUGGUAAAUAAGAAAAUUUAACCUCAUAGAUUUCAGCAAUAAUUGCUUUAUUAAAUGAUCCAUGAAUCACACAUCACCCCAUGUGGCCCU